UGGGGAAUUUUCCGCAAUGGGGGCAACCCUGACGGAGCAACGCCGCGUGGGGGAGGAAUGUCUGUGGAUUGUAAACUCCUUUUCUCAGGGAAGAAGUUCUGACGGUACCUGAGGAAUCAGCAUCGGCUAACUCCGUGCCAGCAGCCGCGGUAAGACGGAGGAUGCAAGCGUUAUCCGGAAUGAUUGGGCGUAAAGCGUCCGCAGGUGGAAAUGCAAGUCUACUGUUAAAGAGUGAAGCUUAACUUCAUAAAGGCGGUGGAAACUGCAUAACUAGAGUACGUUCGGGGCAGAGGGAAUUCCUGGUGUAGCGGUGAAAUGCGUAGAUAUCAGGAAGAACACCGGUGGCGAAAGCGCUCUGCUAGGCCGUAACUGACACUGAGGGACGAAAGCUAAGGGAGCGAAUGGGAUUAGAUACCCCCGUAGUCC
rnacentral:rRNA from 1 species